rnacentral:rRNA from 1 species
UACAGAGGGGGCAAGCGUUGUCCGGAUUUACUGGGCGUACAGCGCGCGCAGGCGGACCUGGACGUGCCGUGUGACAGCCCACCGCUCACCGGUGGAAGGCCACGGUACACGACAGGUCUGGAGGCAGGGAGAGGGAUGUGGAAUGCCCGAUGGAGCGGUGAAAUGCGUAGAGAUCGGGCGGAACACCGGUGGCGAAGGCGGCAUCCUGGACCGGCAUUGACGCUGAGUGAGCGAAAGCCAGGGGAGCAAACGGG